rnacentral:rRNA from 1 species
ACUCCUACGGGAGGCAGCAGUGGGGAAUAUUGCACAAUGGGGGAAACCCUGAUGCAGCCAUGCCGCGUGUGUGAAGAAGGCCUUCGGGUUGUAAAGCACUUUCAGUAGGGAGGAAGGUAGUGUAGUUAACACCUGCAUUAUUUGACGUUACCUACAGAAGAAGCACCGGCUAACUCCGUGCCAGCAGCCGCGGUAAUACGGAGGGUGCGAGCGUUAAAUCGGAAUUACUGGGCGUAAAGCGCAUGCAGGCGGCCUGUUAAGUCAGAUGUGAAAGCCCGGGGCUUAACCUCGGAAUUGCAUUUGAAACUGGCAGGCUAGAGUCUUGUAGAGGGGGGUAGAAUUUCAGGUGUAGCGGUGAAAUGCGUAGAGAUCUGAAGGAAUACCAGUGGCGAAGGCGGCCCCCUGGACAAAGACUGACGCUCAGAUGCGAAAGCGUGGGGAGCGAAAACAGGUUUAGAUACCCUGGUAGCACAGAG